AAGAGUGAGAGCGUUAUUAAUUUUGCGGUAUAAAUUUUGAGAGCGGCAUAAAGGGUGAAAAAUCAAAAGUGGAUUCUUUAUUUUGAGUGUAAUAAUCUCUUGACCAUUUUGCUCUAGUGAAUUAUUUUGCUCCUCUCGAACCGCGGUUUUUUCCUUAUUCAAAAGGGUUUUCCAAGUUAAAAUCUUAGUGUCGUUAUUACUCUUUUUUAUUUCUUUUUGGUGCUCGUUAUUAUUCUCAAUACAUUCAGUAAAUAUUAUUUCUAUCUGUUAUCUUUUCCAGCCAUUGGUAUUAGAGCACAAGUUUUGCUCAUUAACAUAAAUAUUUUUUGAGGCCAGUCGUACUAUACUCGGCGAGAAAAAAAUGACUUGAGCAAAGUACGAGGUAGCAAAACUUCAACGGUGAGAGCGAUUUCUCGACAAGGCAAAGAAGGAUGAGGGAUUUGCUCAUUAAUAUAACAUAAGGCACUAGAAGGCAAUUUGCUUUACUUUCUUGGCAUAAUCCAUUGCUUUAAAAGAGUAUACAAAAGCUAGCAGAUGUGCACCUAUAGAACAAGGAUGAUUUACCUUUUCCAUUCCCAUGGGAAAGAGGGUGGGCAUCUACAUCCUUUCUGAUCUGCCUAUCAGUGUAUCAUAGGAUCAUGGUAAGCAAUGCAAGUUAAAGGAGAGGCAAAAUCAAAAACUAUAGAGUCGGUACAGGAAUUGUUUGAACUUAUCAAGGAGCAGAUUCGAGGGACAAAAUUUUUUGACAGGGAGCAGAUAGGCUACCUGGAUAUAGUGAUGGGUUGGAAAUCUCUGUGGCUCAGUGCAAUGGAGGAAGUAGGAGAGAAGAAGCUAUUGUUACCACUUUUCUCUCUCAUGUUUUAAGGUAAAUCGAGCUUUAUUCUGAUGGUUUUAUAUUGAUGUUACUGUGACAUUUAUGUAAAGAGUCCCUCCCAUCUGCCAUAUCAAGAGCAGAUGAUAUGUGAACCAAGAUGAAACCGAGGCCACCAACAAUCUCGAUAGUAAAAAUAUCAUCAAUAACACCUCUGAAUCAUUUGAUUCUGCUACAGUUACAGUAUUA